CUGGCAGCACGUAGGAGCAGG
rnacentral:miRNA from 1 species